UCCAGCUUCAGUGCUGCAUCGCAGUCGUGUUUAGCCUCAGCAAACCUCUCAACCUUCAAGUAGCACAGGGCUCUGCAAGCACACACAUGCAAGUAUUUUUAUUGACCCACCAGCAGCUAGUUUUGAAUGAUGCAUAACUAAAAGGAAAGCUGAAGAAAGACAGGAAAUGCGUGGAGGAGAAAGCGGGACAACCAUACAUCACAGGAGGCCGAGGCCAGGAGUCAAACCUGCAUCCACGGCCUGGAGGACUGUAAAUGAUCUCAACAGAUGUGAUUAUUCCUUUAUCAAAACAGACCUGCAUCCAUUGCUGCUUUCUCUGCCCGGGCCUGGAGGACCUCUUCACUGG